AGCUCUUGUAAGUUUUAAAAAAGCCCAACGACAUAAUUCUGAAGAACUCUUCCAUUCUUCUCACUGCAACAUCAAGACAAGAAAAAAUGUUUAGCUGCAGUGCUUCUUUUCUUAAGAACUUCAGUGCUGAGCACCAGAGGGCACUGCUCUGCAGCACACUUUGAGCACGCAAGCACUAAGCUGACUGUCAGUAUCUUAUCUCUUCCUGCCUUGUUUCAUUGAGGUUAAUUAUUUACCUACUGUUCGUGGAAAUCCUAGAAUCCCCAAGGUUGGAAAAGACCUCUAAGGUCAUCCAGUGCAACUGUUUUGCAGGGAUGCCUUUUAUGCUGUGUGGAUAAAGUUGCUAAAGGCAUUGAUGCAUAUCUCUGUUGCAACCCAGUAAUGCUGCAGCAUGAGUCUCCUCACUGCCUUGCCACUGGUGGACUUGGCCAGGUGUAAUGCUGGCAGCUCGUUCUAAAAGAAUUCAAUAUCUCUGACUGACUUUGCAUACCUAGAAUUCCUGAUUUAUGAGGGGAGCAAGCAGUGGCCUGACCAUGCUGGAUGUUCUUUUGAUAUACAUACUUGACGCUGUUUUUUAUUUUCUCUCCUUAAGGCCUGGCCAGAUGAUACCACCUUCAACUUCAAUCUAAUUAAGGGGAAGAAGUGGAACUGGUAUCUGAGAUAUCUCUAUGGGCAAGGUUUAGAGGGCCUGAAGCUCUUCAUUGAAAGCAGCAUCAAUCGUGUUUCCAAGGCCUCUCAAAGUAAACCAGAGGAUGAGAAAGUGUGACUCUAGGACUUGUUGGAGCCUUUCUGUCAUCUGGAAUAGGGAAACAGAACAUUAGCAGACUGUGUCAGUAAUUCUUGCUUCCUCAGAGGAAAGAAACAGAGCAAUUAUGCUUGCCUGCAUUUUCGUGCUGGCAUCUGUGUUAGGAAAGCAAAAAUAGAGAAGGAACAUCUUAGGCUGUUUUGGUUCACCAGCACUGAACCCCCUUAUUUCCUGCUGAACUUCUUUAGCCUGAGGCUGCUGAGCUGAUGUGAUAUGUAACAUUCCUGUUUUUCAUCCUCAUUUUUCUUUGUUGGAAUAUCUGAGGGGAAAAAACAUUUUCCAUCUCAAAGCUGCAGCGAGAAGUGCUGCCUCAUUUAGAAGACACAUUGAUAUGACCCUCCUCUUUCUUCCCUGACAACUUGCACAGUACCCUGGACGAUUGAUUUUAUGCUAGGCUGGAGGACUGCAUGUUUCCCAGCUCCCUGCUGUGCUGUGUACGUGCUGGCUCAUAACAGGAUGGCCAAACUGACCCUCCUGAACUUCUGAGUCUUCCAGAAGAGACUUUGUGAUACCUUUGCUUAUAAUGUUCAUGUAAUGCAGUUGAAGAACUUUGUGCACCACUGGCUUACUGGUGACCUUCAACAGCUGAACAGCAUUGCCACUGGCUCACCAUUUCCUAUUGAUAAGCUUUCCUUCCUGUGUUUUUAGUUCUAUAAUGUUGUAUAUUAAAUGUGUACAUAUAUUAUGUAUAUUCUGUAAAAAUACUUCAAAAAUGCCAUUUUGAAGGAUCUCUGCUUUUAAAAAAAUGCAUCCUCUCGUAUUCUGUUUUAAUGCUAAGUAGAAGUCAGAUGAACUGAGGUCUCCAAUUAUCUCACCACUGAUGUGGUUGUAAAUGCUCAGAAGGUGAGUGCCAGUGACUUCCUUUCAGUUGGGGAAGAUGCCUGUAUUCUGAAAGGUGUCUGCUGUAUGUAAAUGUUUUUAAAGAUGCUAGUAGCAAAAUGCUGUGUGAUCUACUGAACACUGUAUAGUUAUUCAUCCUUGAGAUCCAUUUUUUCUUAACCUUUGUAGGUGUAUUAUUCAGAAAUAACAGAAUUGUGUUACAGAAGGCAGUUGUGGCACCACCAGUCCUGUUUUGUGCUGAGUCUUUGAACAAACUGUGUACAGUUUUGUUAUUCAGGUGCAUGGGAUGAACUCUUGUUGGUCAUUCUUUCACAUUUGGACACUUUUUCUCUACUACCUCUCCACUUACAUGGAAGAGUCCCAUGGGAGAAUGGGCCCAUUAGAAAUGUUCUGCUCUCUCUUUAUUUUUUCCAGCUCUUACUGUCCAACAUGGUACAUUUUGUAGACAACUUUCUAUUACAAGCAUAUGCUCAAAAGUUUGGCUGACCACAGCAUCUGCUCGAGGACUAAAAUGAAGGUAGUCAAGCUCUAUCAAUUUCUUAAGUUAGGAAAGAAACCAAUCAUUUGUCUCUAGUGCCCUUCUCUGCCAGUUGUAGUGCUUCUGCCUUGCGUGAGCUCUAGGCGACUAUAAUAGAAACUGUUGUAUUUAUUGAUAGGAAGAAUGAGGGAUGAAUAGUUCUUUCAAUCCUCUUCUUUACCUUUCUAAUAGCUAGGUGAGAUGCUCCCAAAACACCAGCUGAGCAGCUGGUUCCCAGAACCCAAGCCCUUAACUCCUUCAAGGCACAGUGCCUGGGCAUUACACAUCCAGACGUGGAUGGCUCAGGCUCAUGUUAAGCUGAAUUCCUUUUGUGAAGCCACGUUUGCUUUGUGUUUAUAUUAAUCAACAUUUUGUAGGGAGAUGAGUAUUUGUACAUCCUUACACAUCGGGCAGUAUUGCUCUUUCAUAGUCAGCUUGCUCUGAAGGAGUUAACAAUUUCAACCUGUUUUCAGCUGGAAUGAGGAAACUGAUUCCUCUGUGUCCCUGCUUUCUAUUCUCUUGCUGGCCUACUUCCCUCUGCUUGCAUUUUGCAUUCCUAAUGCCAUGAAUAAAUCAGGACCCAAGGAUUUAGAAGGUGGUACAGCUGUAGCCACUCAGAAAAUUGAACCUCUGAGGCUUGCACUGCAGCUCCAACAACUGCCAGUACGUAUGUUCUAAGCCCUUUAAUAACAUUUAACUGGCACCAAAAAUAAAACUCACCUCUGUGCUGUUUUCCACUAAUGUUUAUGCACUGGUACCUCUACCCCAUGUCUCCUCACUUUGCUUCCUUUGCCUUUGAGUUGAAACUCAGCUGUAAGCCCUUCAGGCAAAGCAGUCACCUCCUGAUCACUGUGGUUUAUCACCAAUUUUUGCAGCAAGGAGAAGAGAAUAAGGGAAACAGGACUGUGACCCUGCUGAGAGUUCAUCUUCAAUUGUGUUAAAGGUUCUGUAGAGAGCUCCUCUCCCUGGCUGUGGUCCUAGAUCCUCUGAUAGCUUGUCAUUAAUAAUGCAUGCUGACCUGCUUUUCUAUGUGGCUCUGUGGCUCCUGGGGGGAGUGUGUGAGGAGCUCUGUGGGCUCUUUAGGCAGAGGACGCUUCAGCCUGGGAGAACAACAGGUAUUGGAAACGAGCUUGCUCUGGAGGAUGAGUAUCUUGAAAGAACGAAGUCUCCAAAUACCUGCUUCUAGGAAAGACGUCCCUCAUCAUGGCUCUGAUCUUUAGAACAACAGUUAUGAUAUGUUCUGAUGUUAAUUUGAUCAAAUUGUGUGUUUGAUUGAGGAGGUCAUUAAGGUUGUGGUCAGGUGGCAUUAGGCUCUGGAGCCCUGAGAUCUGCACCCAGCUGUCAGAGCUGUGCCAUAACUCCCAGCUUACUGUGAUGGUUGGGGCAGGCACUGAAGUACCUGAGCAGUCCUGGUGGUUUCAGUGAAGUGCUGAUUUGUGAUGCUGCCUUAUUUCUGUUCUUGGUUUUGUGUUCUAUAUGAGGAAAAGAUUCCCACAGCAAAGGGUAUUUUUUUUUUUUUUUAAAGCCUUGAUAAAUUUGCUGUCAGUUUGUUCACCUCCCAGGCUCACUGCAAACAUAUCAGCUCAAAUGGUCCUCAAACAGCAGUGGGUACCUUCCACAGCCUCAAAAUACGAUUCUGAUCCUGACAGCAUUAGAAAUCUGUAUGCUCAGGUGGGAUGCUGUUCUGCUGCUUAAUGAAUCGACCCCAUCAGCCCACAGUGGGCACUGUUGGAGGUGUGGGACAGAGCAGACUUAGUGCUGUGCAGGAGGUGGGGAGUGAAGGUGCUGUUAUGUGGUGCAGUUCCUGAGCUCCAGGUACUGGCUUUGGGCAAAAAGGUGACUGUUUUAUUGUCUAAUGCAUUUGGGCCCUUCCAUUAAGGAAUACAGCAGUAAGCUGCUUGUGUGUAUGGCUUACCUGUAAGCCCUGAAUGCCCACUCUCCAGGAAUAGCUUUCUCCUUGCAGGUUUAUCCCAGCCCUCUUCACACAUCCCAUGCCCAUGCCAUUCCCGCUCCAGCUGCCUGCACAUGGAUCACUAAGCAGUUUGCUUUCUCUUAGGGCACCUCUGUUCUGUGUCGAAGUGAAUUUCAGCAGCCCCUGCCUGAUUGCCUUCCUGCCUCUGUGUGCAGAGCCCAGAGAGCAGGGAGGGAUUGGAGAGCACGUCACAAAUGUGGUGACAGCCUCUGAAGAACAACAACAAAAAGCCCCUGAAAGCGGCCUGUCUGCCUUUUCCCUGUCAAGUUUUUGCUUUUUCUAGCCCUAUCUCCUUUCUGCUGCUUUUUUCCUCUUUCAAAUUCUUUUCCCCUGUUUGCUCGCUGCUCUGAACAGAUUUCCUCCCUCCUCCUUUCUCGUUCCUGGGCAGAGCUGCUCCAGUGCCACUGCAGGAACAAACACAGAGGGGUCUGCUCUGCUCCAUGCUACCUGCCUGCACGGCUCCCCCCCUUCUCUCACCCCAGGUAUCAUGCUUUUAGAAACCCUCCUGCUGCUUUUCUAAAUACUUCAGACAGUGUGGGAUCUGUGCUUGGGAGAUCUGGGUGUUUAUGGAUGCUCACAAAGGAGUUAGUUAUUUACUUGACAUUGUUUUCUUUAUGCAGAUGGAGGAACAGUAGGGUUCGAUGUCUGGGCAACCAUUCUUAUAUUUGUCUCAAGCUGAAUGUAGGGCUCCUGAUUUGGGAUUUAUUUCUUCUCGUUGCAAUAAGGCCCUUUGCGUUCCCUUCCCAAGCACGGUUACCCCUCUGAUGUCUGGGAAUGGAGCAGCUCUGUCCCUUUGUGUGAGGUCCAUCCCUUCUGGCUCUCUGAAGGUGGACACCGCAUGACCACUCCAAUCAACGAUCCCGCAUCAAAAAUGCAUCACUGUCAGUUUGGUAUGGGCUGCUGUGGUAGAAUUCAGUCCCUUCUGUUGUUUCAGAUAAGUGGAGACCCAGAGGAGGGAGCUUUCAUCUCAGCAAAGCACAGGGUUUGGUGGCACUUGGGAAGAAACAGCAUUUCUUUUGGCUGUAAGAUGUUUCCCCUGUUUGUAGGCUUUCACAGAACCAUAGAAUGGUUGGAGUUGGUGCCUAAAUCUGCACACAGUAUUUCUCCAUCAUUCUUAUAUCCUAUGCUCAUCCUUUUGGUUUUUUUCUACAGGCAGAGAGAUAGUUCAAGGCAAUUACUCUCACCAUCUCAGCACCUGAACUGUUCUGCUGAAGAUGGGGCUGUUAGGUCUGUGGUUACUGCUUAGGUUGCUUGGUGCUACAAGGCACUCUGUGUUAUGGAAGGUUCCAACUCCAGAGCAAUUUGGCCAAAUUAAUAUUGAUUUUGAAUAAAGAGCGAGCAGUAAAGAUUUUGGGGUCGUACCAAACACAGCUCCCCUUUCCAGUUUUAAAAUGAUUCAAACUACAAAUAACAUUCCUAGACCCCAUACAGCCAUUAGCACAUUUGCAUUCACAGUGUCCUACGCUCUGUGUUCAGUCAGUGUGAAUGGUUCCAACUUCACCCAGGAACAUCGAAGUCUGUUUCAAUGAUUUAAAUUGAUUUCUGCUCCACUGUUUAAGACUGAGAAUUACUGGUGUAAAUGAGAUCUAAUUGCACUUCUGGGUCACGUCUUAUGAAACCCAUCUGGAUUUGG